AGUCGAGCGAACGGACGAGAAGCUUGCUUCUCUGAUGUUAGCGGCGGACGGGUGAGUAACACGUGGAUAACCUACCUAUAAGACUGGGAUAACUUCGGGAAACCGGAGCUAAUACCGGAUAAUAUUUUGGACCGCAUGGUUCAAAAGUGAAAGACGGUCUUGCUGUCACUUAUAGAUGGAUCCGCGCUGCAUUAGCUAGUUGGUAAGGUAACGGCUUACCAAGGCAACGAUGCAUAGCCGACCUGAGAGGGUGAUCGGCCACACUGGAACUGAGACACGGUCCAGACUCCUACGGGAGGCAGCAGUAGGGAAUCUUCCGCAAUGGGCGAAAGCCUGACGGAGCAACGCCGCGUGAGUGAUGAAGGUCUUCGGAUCGUAAAACUCUGUUAUUAGGGAAGAACAUAUGUGUAAGUAACUGUGCACAUCUUGACGGUACCUAAUCAGAAAGCCACGGCUAACUACGUGCCAGCAGCCGCGGUAAUACGUAGGUGGCAAGCGUUAUCCGGAAUUAUUGGGCGUAAAGCGCGCGUAGGCGGUUUUUUAAGUCUGAUGUGAAAGCCCACGGCUCAACCGUGGAGGGUCAUUGGAAACUGGAAAACUUGAGUGCAGAAGAGGAAAGUGGAAUUCCAUGUGUAGCGGUGAAAUGCGCAGAGAUAUGGAGGAACACCAGUGGCGAAGGCGACUUUCUGGUCUGUAACUGACGCUGAUGUGCGAAAGCGUGGGGAUCAAACAGGAUUAG
rnacentral:rRNA from 1 species